rnacentral:rRNA from 1 species
UACGAAGGGGGCUAGCGUUGCUCGGAAUUACUGGGCGUAAAGCGCACGUAGGCGGCUUUGUAAGUUAGAGGUGAAAGCCUGGGGCUCAACUCCAGAACUGCCUUUAAGACUGCAUCGCUUGAAUCAUGGAGAGGCGGGUGGAAUUCCGAGUGUAGAGGUGAAAUUCGUAGAUAUUCGGAAGAACACCAGUGGCGAAGGCGGCCCGCUGGACAUGUAUUGACGCUGAGGUGCGAAAGCGUGGGGAGCAAACAGG